rnacentral:lncRNA from 1 species
CUUCACUCCUUAAAAAUAAGACAUGAAUAUUAGUUGAUAAGCCCAAAGGACAAAAAUUAAUUGAUUGCAAGUGGAUUUAUAAGAUAAAAUCUGGAGAAGGUGAUGAUAACAAUAUUAGAUAUGAAGCUAGACUUGUAGCAAAGGGUCACACAUAAAAGAAGGUGUGGAUUAUACUGAAAUUUUUUCUCCUGUUGCUAAAUAUGUUACUAUCAGAUGUCUACUUGCACUUGUUACACAAUUUAAAUGAGAACUUGAUCGACUAAAUGUUAAAACUACUUUCCUGUAUGGGGAAUUAGAUGAAAUAAUAUAUAUGAGACAACCAAUUGGUUUUGAGGAAGGUGAUCCUGAAAACAUUAUUUGUUUGUUAAAGAAAUCCUUGUAUGGUCUAAAGCAGAUACCUAGGUAGUGGUACAAAAGAUUUGACACUUUUGUCUUGAAACUUGGAUUUAAAAGAAGCCAAUAUGAUACUUGCUUGUACUACAAAGGUAGUGGAGUUAAAAACUCAUUAAAUCUGAUCCUCUAUGCGAAUGAUAUGUUGUUGGCUAGUUCUGAUAAAUCAAAAAUUGAUGACAUUAAAUCAAAGUUAAGUUCGGAGUUUGAUAUGAAAGACCUUGGUGCCACUAAAAGAAUAUUGGGCAUACAUAUUUGGAGAUACAAGGAUAAAAAUAUGUUGUUUUUAAAUCAAUGUGACUAUGUGUCUAAAAUCUUGAAAAAAUUCAACAUGCAUGAUUGUAAGCCUGUAACACUGUCGCUUGCUAGUCAUUUUAGAUUGUCUUCUGAAUUUUGUCCUAAAUCUGAAGAUGAAUAUGACAGGAUGUCAAAAAUUCCAUAUGCUAAUGUAAUUGGCUCUGUGAUGUAUUUGAUGAUAUGCACCAGACCUGAUCUUGCAUAUAGUAUUAGCAUUUUGAGUAGGUUUAUGAGUAAUCCUGGUGAAGAAUAUUGGUAUGCCUUAAAAUGGUUAUUGAGAUAUCUUAAGGGAUCAUGACAUUUAGGCCUAAUGUUUAAAUCACAUAAAAAUGGAAUGAGUUUAAAAGGGUAUACUGAUUUUGAUUUUGCUGGCAAUAGAGCUAAUAGAAAGUCAACCUCAUCUUAUUUUUAUACACUGUGUGGUACUACUAUCAGUUGAAGAUCUCAGCUCCAAAAAGUUGUGGCUUUGUCCUCAACUGAGUCAGAAUAUAUAGCUGCAACUGAUGUUGUUAAAGAAGGAAUAUGGUUGAAUGGUUUAUUGUCUGAAAUGUGUUUCAAUGAUAACCACAUUGUGCUAUUUUCUGAUAACCAAAGUGCUAUUCACCUAAGUAAAAAUCCCAUGUUCCGUGAUGGGUCAAAACAUAUUGAUGUUAAAUACCAUUUUAUAAGAGAUAAUCUCAAAAGGUGAAAUUAAGAUUGAACAAGUUUUUACUCAGUUUAAUCCAUCUAAAUGGGUACAAAAAUAAUUCCUUUAAACAAAUUCUUAAACUGCUUGAAACUUUUAUCUGUUGAUUCUUUGUGAUUCGUAUACAGGUACUUGAAGCAAAUGAAAAAGACGUAAGAUCAUGCUCUUGGCUGCACUGAUAGCUCAAAUUCUGGCAACAAGGUGGAGAUUGUUGGAGUCGAACCCUGUUCUCCUUGAUUUAAUGCUUCCAGAAUUUGAUUUGUGAUAAAACCAUGUUUUUAUCAAACACGAUUUAAUAAGUGUUGACACUUUACUGUAUGGCCAACACGUGGACUAUCUCUGGACGUUGGAUUAAACUGGUUCAUAUGCCCUUUGUUAAAAUGAUGGAGCCUUUUGGAACGUCAGACACAACCCUUCAUCUUGCUCUCGACUCUAGGGUUUUCAGAGAGAAAGAUAUUGACGAUUUGAUAGAUGUUGAUUCUCUUUGAGUGUUUCAUGUGUAAAAUCUCUGAUUUUACAUAGAGUAUAGUGAGAUCUUCCUUCGAUUGUUAUAUUAUGUAUGAAUGGUGAAGAAAUCUGAGUGAUUUCUCUGUUGUAUCAUUUUGGUGGUGUUCGAAGGUUUUGUAGGUUGAGAUCUGAGUGAAUAUCUGUAGAUCCAUUGCUAUAUUUGAGAGAUAAGUCUCAUUUUCAUCUCUUUGAACAAUCUGUAAAUCUGUUGCCAUUUUUGGCUGUUUAGUGCAACCGAGCAUAAUCCAAAUUUUUGGAUGCUCAACGGGGGAUGUAGGCGUUAGAUAUGAUCGCCAAACCUCCGGGGCUUAGGUCGAAAUAAUUCCUUUGUGUUCCUUUAAUUUUCUACAAUUUAUUUUUGUUCGAUUGAGGUCUUCUUGUUUCUUGAUUUUAAUAUCGUGU